rnacentral:misc_RNA from 1 species
UCCGGUUUGUCACCGGCAGUCUCAUUAGAGUGCCCAACUGAAUGUGGCAACUAAUGAUAAGGGUUGCGCUCGUUGCGGGACUUAACCCAACAUCUCACGACACGAGCUGACGACGGCCAUGCAGCACCUGUGUCCAGGUUCUCUUUCGAGCACUCUCACAUCUCUGCGAGAUUCCUGGCAUGUCAAGGGUAGGUAAGGUUCUUCGCGUUGCAUCGAAUUAAGCCACAUGCUCCGCCGCUUGUGCGGGUCCCCGUCAAUUCCUUUGAGUUUUAGCCUUGCGGCCGUACUCCCCAGGCGGUCAACUUCACGCGUUAGCUUCGUUACCAAGGAAUUACUUCCCCGACAACCAGUUGACAUCGUUUAGGGCGUGGACUAC